AUGAACCCCGUUCCAGAUUUUUACCGGAGGCAGCCAGUAGGGAUCUUCCACAAUGGCGAAGCUGAUGAGCACGCCGCGUGCAGAUGAAUGCUCGGGUGUAAACUGCUUUAUAGACGAAGAUUAUGACGGUAAUCUAUGAAUAAGGAUCGGCUAACUCCGUGCCAGCAGCCGCGGUCAUACGGAGGAUCCAAGCGUUAUUCGGAAUGACUGGGCGUAAAGAGUUGCGUAGGCGGCAAUCUAAGCGAGUAGUGAAAUUUUAGGGCUCAACCCUGAAACUGUUACUCGAACUGGAUAGCUAGAGUGUAUGAGGGGUACCUGGAAUUCCUAGUGUAGGAGUGAAAUCCGUAGAUAUUAGGAGGAACACCAAUGGCGAAGGCAGGGUACUGGCAUAUUACUGACGCUAAGGCACGAAAGCGUGGGGAGCGAACCGGAUUAGAUACCCGGGUAGUCCACGCCGUAAACGAUGGAUGCUAGCUGUAGGGGGUAUCGACCCCUUCUGUAGCGAAGCUAACGCGUUAAGCAUCCCGCCUGGGGAGUACGGUCGCAAGAUUAAAACUCAAAGGAAUUGACGGGGACCCGCACAAGCGGUGGAGCGUGUUGUUUAAUUGGAUGAUAAGCCAAGAACCUUACCAAGGUUUGACAUCCUCCGAAAUUCUGGGAAACCAGAGUGUGCCUUUUGGAACGGAGUGACAGGUGAUGCAUGGCCGUCGUCAGCUCGUGUCGUGAGAUGUUGGGUUAAGUCCCUCAACGAGCGCAACCCUUAUGUUUAGUUGGAUUUUUCUAGAUAGACUGCCUCGGUAACGGGGAGGAAGGAGGGGAUGACGUCAGGUCCGUAUUUCCCUUACACCUUGGGCUACAAACACGCUACAAUGGCCGGUACAAUGGGCAGCCAAGUCGCGAGAUGGAGCAAAUCCCAUCAAAGCCGGUCCCAGUUCGGAUUGUAGGCUGAAACUCGCCUGCAUGAAGUCGGAAUCGCUAGUAACCGUUGGUCAGCACACUACGGUGAAUACGUUCCCGGGUCUUGUACACACCGCCCGUCACACCACGAAAGUCGCCAACACCCGAAGUACGAAUUUAUUUCGUCCUAAG
rnacentral:rRNA from 1 species